UGGAUCACCUCCUAACAGGGAGACAACAAAAUGUUUAAUAUUAUUAUUUUGUCACCUUAGGUCGAUCGGUAUCUCACGUUUUUAAUUUAUUAAAAAUUUCAUUUCCUAAGUUUUUCUAGGUCACACCCAUUAUUUUUCCUGGGCCAUUAGCUCAGGUGGUUAGAGCGCACCCCUGAUAAGGGUGAGGUCCCUGGUUCAAGUCCAGGAUGGCCCAUAUCUCUAUGUUGGGGGUAUAGCUCAGUUGGUAGAGCGCCUGCUUUGCAAGCAGGAUGUCAGCGGUUCGAGUCCGCUUACCUCCACUGAUUACCACCUCUUCCAUAACCGGUAGAAAGGAAAUGUUUUGAGUCGUGAUCAAAUUCUGAAAGAAUCUAGCUUCCUAAUGAAAUCAUUAAGAUGCUGGACUCAUUGAAUUAAUUUCAUUGUUUUCAGAGAACCUUGACAACUGCAUAGAUUAUUUUUAAAGACAAUAAGCAUCUUUAAUGAUGCAGAUUUAUUAUUUGUGCGAAUGCAUUAAUAACAAUUCUAUUAAGCUGAUGCUUCAAUUUUUGAAGUUAUUGGUCAAGCUACAGAGGGCUCACGGAGGAUACCUAGGCACACAGAGGCGAUGAAGG
rnacentral:tRNA from 1 species